rnacentral:lncRNA from 1 species
CCUCAAUCUUUCACAACAAUUGAUAAAUAGUGAUCCAUAAAUAACUUUAUAAAUCAAACAUUAAUUCAUUAAAUCGAUUCUCUUCACUAGAAUCAAUACUAACACAAAAGAAAUAAGAAAAUUAAGAAGAAGAGAUAGCACCAAGCUUAUCUCCAGUCAAUACAAUCGUAGUCUGGCAUUUUCUUCCCCUCUCCCAUCCUCCUUAUACUACCCCGAGAUACCAAUUCCUAUACUACAGAUGAUAAUUACUUUUCCUGACUAUUCAUCCAUUCUACGUGCUGAACUACCUUUUCAGCAAUUAUCUAUCCCUCUUUACACUAUACACUAGGUAUCUACAUUCUGAAAAUAACUACUUAUUCUACAUAGCCCC